rnacentral:rRNA from 1 species
GUGUCAGCCGCCGCGGUAAGACGGACCACCCAAACGUUAUUCGGAAUCACUGGGCUUAAAGGGUGCGUAGGCGGUGUAGUAAGUCGGGUGUGAAAUCCCCCAGCUUAACUGAGGAAUUGCGCCCGAAACUGCUGCGCUCGAGGGAGACAGAGGUGAGCGGAACUGAUGGUGGAGCGGUGAAAUGCGUUGAUAUCAUCAGGAACACCGGUGGCGAAAGCGGCUCACUGGGUCUCUUCUGACGCUCAGGCACGAAAGCUAGGGGAGCAAACGGGAUUAGAAACCCCCGUAGUCC